CGUGGCCGAUUCAUUAGGCAGUGGCAGCGGUCGACGAAGGGCAUGAGGCCAGCAAUUAUUGAGUAGUCAUCAUAGCACCCCAGCUUACCCUUAAGCGUCGCUCGUAUGUUGUGGGAUGGAGCGGAUACAAUUCACACAGAAACAGCUAUGACAUGAUACGCAGUUGCACGCUGCCGUCGACGAUUUCCGGUGAUCUGCCGGAGGCCUACCGCUAUCGAGUUCGAUAAAGCCAUGCGAGUCGAGAGUCCUCGGGACUCGGCGUACCGCUCAGUAACACGUGGGUAACCUGCCCUAUGCUGGGGAAUAACCUCGGGAAACUGAGAACAAUGCCCCAUAGCCCACUACGCCUGGAACGGUGAGUGGGUCAAAGCCCCGGCGGCAUAGGAUGGGCCUGCGCCGUAUCAGGUUGUAGGGGGUGUAAAGUACCCUCUAGCCAUCAACGCGUACGGGUGUUGGGAGACAUUGCCCGGAGAUGGAUUCUGAGACACGAAUCCAGACCCUACGGGGUGCAGCAGGCGCGAAAACUUGGCAAUGCGAGAAAUCGUGACCAGGGAACUCCAAGUGCGUAGGGUAAGACCUACGCUUUUCUUGACUCUUCAAAGGUCUUGGAAUAAGGGGUGGGUAAGGACGGUGCCAGCCGCCGCGGUAAUACCGGCGCCUCAAGUGGUAGUCGCUUUUAUUGGGCCUAAAACGUCCGUAGCCGGUCUGGUGCAUUCGUGGGUAAAUCAACCCGCUCAACGGGUUGAAUUCUGCGAGCACGGCCAGACUUGGGACUGGGAGAGGUGUGGGGUACUCUCAGGGUAGGGGUAAAAUCCUGUCAUCCUGAGAGGACCACCUGUCGCGAAGGCGCCACACUAGAACGGAUCCGACGGUCAGGGACGAAACCUAGGGGCACGAACCGGAUUAGAUACCCGGGUAGUCCUAGGUGUAAACGCUGUGGACUUGAUGUUGGGGGCGCUCCGAGCGCUCUCAGUGUCGAAGCGAAGGUGAUAAGUCCACUGCCUGGGGAGUACGGUCGCAAGGCUGAAACUUAAAGGAAUUGGCGGGGGAGCACUGCAACCUGAGGAUUGUGCGGUUUAAUUGGAUUCAACGCCGGA
rnacentral:rRNA from 1 species